AUUGAACGCUGGCGGCAGGCCUAACACAUGCAAGUCGAGCGGGGUUUUCGGACCUAGCGGCGGACGGGUGAGUAAUGCGUAGGAAGCUGCCCGAUAGAGGGGGAUACCAGUUGGAAACGACUGUUAAUACCGCAUAAUGUCUACGGACCAAAGUGUGGGACCUUCGGGCCACAUGCUAUCGGAUGCGCCCACGUGGGAUUAGCUAGUUGGUGAGGUAAUGGCUCACCAAGGCGACGAUCUCUAGCUGGUUUGAGAGGAUGAUCAGCCACACUGGAACUGAGACACGGUCCAGACUCCUACGGGAGGCAGCAGUGGGGAAUAUUGGACAAUGGGCGCAAGCCUGAUCCAGCCAUGCCGCGUGUGUGAAGAAGGCCUUCGGGUUGUAAAGCACUUUCAGCGAGGAGGAAGGGUGGUGUGUUAAUAGCACAUCAUUUUGACGUUACUCGCAGAAGAAGCACCGGCUAACUCUGUGCCAGCAGCCGCCGUAAUAC
rnacentral:rRNA from 1 species